rnacentral:rRNA from 1 species
GACAGGGGGUGCAAACGUUGUUCGGAAUUACUGGGCGUAAAGAGUGUGUAGGCGGUGUUCCCAGUCUGUUGUGAAAUCUCCCGGCUUAACUGGGAGGGUGCAGCGGAAACUAGAAUGCUAGAGGGUGGGAGAGGUAAGCGGAAUUCCUGGUGUAGCGGUGAAAUGCGUAGAUAUCAGGAGGAACACCUGUGGUGUAGACAGCUUACUGGACCACUUCUGACGCUGAGACACGAAAGCGUGGGUAGCAAACAGG